CUGGCGGCGUGCUUAACACAUGCAGUCGAACGUGAUUUUUAUGGAAUAGCCUUCGGGAUAUGACAUGAGAUGAAAGUGGCGAACGGGUGAGUAACACGUGAGCNACCUACCUUACACAGGAGGAUAGGCCGUGGAACGACUAUUGAUACCGCAUGAGACCACAGAACCGCAUGGUAAAGGGGUCAAAGAUUUAUCGGUGUAAUGAUGGGCUCGCGUCUGAUUAGCUAGCUGGAAGGAUAAUGGGCUACCAAUGCGACGAUCAGUAGCCGGUCUGAGAGUCGAUGAACGGACACAUUGGAACUGAGACACGGUCCAAACUCCUACGGGAUGCAGCAGUGGGGAAUAUUGCACAUUGGGGGACACCCUGAUGCAGCGACGCCGCGUGAGCGAAGAAGGUUUCGAAUCGUAAGCUCUGUCCUAUGAGAAGAUAUGACGGUAUCAUACGAGGAAGCUCCGGCUAAAUACGUGCCAGCAGCCGCGGUAAUACGUAUGGGGCGAGCGGUGUCCGGAAUUAUUGGGCGUAAAGGGUACGUAGGCGGUCUAUUAAGUCAGGUGUGAAAGCGUGAAGCUUAACCUCAUUAAGCACUUGAAACUGAUAGACUUGAGUGAAGAAGAGGAAAGUGCUAAUUCCUAGUCUAGCGGUGAAAUGCGUAGAUAAUAGGAGGAAUACCGGUGGCGAAGGCGACUGUCUGCCUUUUACUGACGCUCAGGUACGAAAGCGUGGNGAGCAAACAGGAUUAGAUACCCUGGUAGUCCACGCCGUAAACGAUGAAUGCUAGGNGCUGGGGGUCAAACCUCGGUCUGAAGUUAACACAGUGAACAUUCCGCCUGGGAGUACGGUGGCAACACUA
rnacentral:rRNA from 1 species